CGCGGCCCCGAGCGGCGUGCCAUGAGGCCGGAGCGCGUCCCCGGGAUCCGCAGCACGCAGCCCUGAUCCCGCCCCGCUGACGAGCUGCCGGUGCCCGAUAUGGCAACGGAGUCCACAAUCCCCAUUUGGCAGAACAAACCCCACGGCUCGGCGCGCAGCGUCGUCAGGAGGAUUGGAUCCAACCUCCCUUUAAAGCCCUGCCCCAGAGCGACCUUCGAGGUUCUACCUAAUGUUUCAGAGCUCUAUUUAAAUGAUGCCCCUCCUGUCCCCACCCUGGCAGACAUUGGGUGGAUAGCAGCAGAUGAUGAAGAAACGUAUGCCCGAGUCAGAAGCGACACUCGCCCUCUGAAACACAAGUGGAAACCGAGUCCCUUCACGGUCAUACAGCGAAAUGCUUCAGUCCCCAACCUGAGGAAGCAGGAAGAGAAGCUGCUGGCCUUGAAGAAGCCUGGUUUACCUGCACUGAGCCGAACGACGGAGCUCCAGGAUGAGCUGAGUCACCUUCGGAGUCAGAUAGCUAAAAUUGUCGCUGCGGGGCCAGCUUCUGCUUCCUUCACCCCUGAUGUAUUGUCUCCAGGAAGUUCAAAUGCAUCUUCUCCUUUGCAUUGCUUUGGACCCUCUUUCCAAUCCACGACAUCCUUUGUCAUCAGUGACAUCACAGAGGAGGAGGCAGAACUCGAGAGCCCCGAGCUUCCCUCAGUCUCCAUGUUCUGUUCUGCAUCUGAGUGCUACAAAGCAGAACCAAAGGAUCCCGAUGAGGAGGAUUCUGUGUCUCUUUCCAAGGCCAGCAGUUUUGCAGACAUGAUGGGCAUUCUAAAAGACAUUCAUAGGAUGAAGCAGAGCAAAGACUUAUCAUUGCAGACACCUGUGUGAGGAUUGCUGGGUCACAGCCUGAACCAGUGAUUGAGCACCAGUGUUAGCAGCCAAGGGAGCAACGUCUCUCUUCAGAGGUUGUGCUGACUGUGCUCUUCUCAAGCUGUCACCAGCCUUUAGAAAGGGUGAGCCACGUUCCCUAUUGCUUUCUAGGCUAAAUCUUAACAAAUACUCUUAUAACUGUGCUCUUGUCCUGGUAGAGGGCAUUAGCAUUGCCUUCCAUUGCUCCCCAGCACCAGCUGUUGUAUUCACCUGCCUGUUGGUGCUGCUGUAUGCCCACAAUUUGGGGGGGAGCAUCUCUUUGUAGUGUCAUGUCUGCCCAUGAGGGAUGCAGGGGGUGAGCAGGGCUGUGAACAGCCCAGGUAGGUUAAGAUAAAACACUGCUCACAAGGCUGGAGGCCAGCAAUAGCAGCUGUGUGCUACAGUUACCUCCAAAAUAUUGACACUUCAACUUUUACAGUCUGUCCUAAACCAUGUGGAUAGACUGCAUGCCCUAAGGAAUCAAAAUAAGCUUAAUGGCUUUACAACUUAAUGGCUUUAUGAGAGAUAACAGCUUUUAAGUAACUGAAAUAGGCCUUGCAAGUACAUGAUCUAUUUGUAAGAGAAAAGGAACAAAAAGACAAAAGAAGCAGCACUUGUAUGUUUGUACUGAGGGGACAGAGCUUGUUAAUAAUGGGCAAAUUUGUAUUUUGCUUUUGGUGCCAUGAACACAACUGACCAAAAAUGCUGAGGUUUGAAUGCUGAGGUUUGCAGAAUGCCCCCUUCAUCCAGCACAAGGAGCUGCAGAACCCGAAGUUCUGCGAAGGAGGAAGACCCUGCUGUUCUGAUAGCAGAAGUCUUGAGAAGAAAAUUUGCCCUGAAGGAGGAAGAUCUGAC